rnacentral:rRNA from 1 species
UUCCAGGGCCUUACGGGGSSCASCAGUCGGGAAAAUUUCCCAAUGGGGGCAACCCCGMMGAGGUAAUUCCAAGUGCCAGCACUUUGUGUUGGCUGUUCUCUUGUCUAAAAAACAAGAGGAGUAAGGGGCGGGUAAGACUGGUGCCAGCCGCCGCGGUAAUACCCGCGCCCCAAGUGGUGGUCGAUAUUAUUGAGCCUAAAACGUCCGUAGCCGGUCUUUUAAAUCCUUGGGUAAAUCGGGCAGCUUAACUGUCCGACUUCCGAGGAGACUGGAAGACUUGGGACCGGGAGAGGUCAGAGGUACUUCUGGGGUAGGGGUAAAAUCCUGUAAUCCUGGAAGGACCACCGGUGGCGAAGGCCUCUGACUAGAACGGAUCCGACGGUGAGGGAYGAAGCCCUGGGGCGCAAACGGGAUUAGAUACCCCGGUAGUCCAGGGUGUAAACGCUGCGGGCUUGGUGUUGGGGGUCCUUUGUGGGCGCCCAGUGCCSGAGAGAAGUUGUUAAGCCUGCUGCUUGGGGAGUAUGUCCGCAAGGWUGAAACUUAAAGGAAUUGGCGGGGGAG